ACAUGCUCAUGGAGAGGAAAGCUGUUAGGGCAAAGCAAUAUAUUAUAAUUAAGUACUUCAUGUUCGGUUAAUGUUUGCUGGUUAUCAGAAGGAUGAAUAGGAAAUUUCUACGAAAGCAAAUAUAGACAUUUUAAAUGGAUGUUUGUUGUGUUGUAUUCUCUUUCCUCUGUGCCUGUUAGAUUAUACUUCAUAAUUUAAAAUUAAGUUAAAAUUUGAAAUUUAUUUUCUUCCUGAGGAAAAUAGUUCAGUAUUCCAGAGCUCUGGGAAUUUAUCCUCAACGGGUACUUGAUAGACUUUUUUAAUUUAAUGGGAUAGAACCCAUCCUGUAAACAUGUCCUAUCAGUGUGGGUUCUCCAGGACCAAUAGAAUGUGUGUAUAUGUAGAGAAAGGAAUGUAUCGUAAGGAAUUCGCUCACAUGGUUAUGGAGGCCGCCAAGUCCCAAGUUUUGUAAUUGAUAAGCUGGAGACUCAGGAAAGCCAUGGUUUAAGUUUUAGUCCAAGUGCAGGAAAAAGCUGCUGUCCCAACUCCCAAGAGACUCAGACAGAGAGAGCGAAUAUUCUCGUACUCCAACUUCUGUUCUAGGCCUGAUUAGAGCCUCCCAUGGACUGGAUAAGGUUCAUCCGCCUCAGGGAGGGUAACCUGAUUUCUUCAGUUUAUCAAUUCAAAUGUAAUCUCAUCCAGAAACACCUGCAUAGACACUCCAGAACAGUGUUUAAUGAAACUUCUGAGGACCAGAUGGUCAAGUUGACUCAUAAAAUUAGCCAGCACAUCCUCCCAACCACCAGCACACACACACACACACACACACACACACACACAAAACCUGGCUAGAGAUCUACUAAGAGGGCAAGUUGGAGGCUAUGCUGGGGGCAAGUGGCCCUGCCCUAUGGGGAUCUCUCCUAAGAGGAGAUGACUUACCAGAGAACAGGGGGGAAGAUGAGGCCUUUGCUUGCUGCACAGUUUACAUCCUCACUUGUACCCACAGACCCAGAUGCGAGCAGGCCCUCAGAUGACAAUGUCGCUGAGUCCUGUGGAGCUGGCGAGGAAGGAUUUCUGCACUCAACGGCAGCAAGCAUAUUCUAACCAAGCCUCCGAGGACCUGCACCACAGCCCUACACAUGCUUUAAUGUAUGUCCUCCUUGUAAGGGACGAAGAGUUAAUGAUUUGUCUGGAGGCUUCCAGCACAACAGAUAACAUCUGAGGAAUGACCAGGCAAAGCCAUCACGUGCAUAUUCCAGACCACUGGUGCUAGACAUCUUGACGCCAAGAUCCCCUGGGUCCGGGGAAUAAGUGACUUAUGAUGGACACCUGGACCCUGUCCUUAUUCUGACCAGUUCCUGGAUGCCCAAGAGGACACGUGUAUCAGGCCACAAACAUCAAUAAAAACCCGAGACCCCAAGCAAAA